UAUAUUGUCUGAUGGUUGAAAGUUUUAUCCAAGUUGAAAUUUUUGUGACAUUAGCAGCAUGUUUGGUUGGGUGUAUCGGUGGGCCCCACUUAUUACGCCUCUAAUACGUUGUUUGGUUCAAUGUAUUGCUAUUACAAGGCUAAACCAUUACUGACAUAAUCGGUGAAAUCCACCGAUUUCUAAUCCCUCCCUUUUGCUCAGUUUAGACGCUGCUUUAGUUUACCCUCCCUAUUUUACCCUCCCAGGCUUCACCUUUUAUUUUCUUUUUUCUUUACAACCGAUUUGCUCCUUCUCAACCUUUUCUUUUCUUUUUGUAUCAUUAUAGCUCCAAAUUUUUGUUGUUUGAUCGAAUCCAAAAUAUUAAUCUCAGCUUCGCACAAAAACUGUGCAAAAGCUAAUGGGUUCAACACCAUUGGAUCUUGCCAAGUUUAACAUGGUAAAGAGUGGAGAAAUGAGCCGUAAUGCUCCUUGUUCAUGUGGUUCCAAGAAGAGAUACAAAAGGUAAUUUGGCACACUAUUUCCCAGAGAUCUGUGUUGCUGUGAGUAGCUCAUAACCUGGACGCAGUGCUUAAGAGAUUUUAUGUCCUCAACCACGGAAUGUUUUUCCAGUGCCAGUGUUGUUCCCUUCAAGUAGCACAAUUUGUUUAUCUUCUUUCAUAAGAAGUUUCGCUUUGUGAGCUAGUUUCAUUUUGAUACUUAUAUGUUGUUGAGGUCUACUUUAGUAUCUAACUUUACAAGUAGGUAUAUUUUGACUAUGAAUUUAUAUUCCGUCCAAAUUUAAUGAUGUGAGACAAUCUUAAAGUGUUAUGUCAAUAAAAUUUUAUAUAUUUCAAGUUCAAA